rnacentral:siRNA from 1 species
ACUCUAUGGGCUGGAGAGGUUGGA